rnacentral:rRNA from 1 species
UACGAAGGGUGCAAGCGUUACUCGGAAUUACUGGGCGUAAAGCGUGCGUAGGUGGUUCGUUAAGUCUGAUGUGAAAGCCCUGGGCUCAACCUGGGAAUGGCAUUGGAUACUGGCGACCUAGAGUGCGGUAGAGGGGUGUGGAAUUCCCGGUGUAGCAGUGAAAUGCGUAGAUAUCGGGAGGAACAUCUGUGGCGAAGGCGACACCCUGGACCAGCACUGACACUGAGGCACGAGAGCGUGGGGAGCAAACAGG